CAAAUCUGAUUAACCCAUGUCAAGUGUAGACUGAUAAAAAAUGAUGGAAAUAACGUCAACAAUAAUUUAAAGUCAAGGAUAAUCAAAGUUUGAUAGAAGUAGCAAACAAGUUGACAGGAUUGACGGUUAUUUGCUACCAUCAAACAUCAAUUAUGAUAUUAGUAAAUUUUUUUAUCUUGCCUGUAAGCAGUAUAUUAGUGAAAGUGAAUUGUUACAAAAUGAAAUUUUCAACUUAAAAUGCGCUCUUCAUUAGUAAACAACAACUUUCACUGAUGGUGCUGCUGUGCAACAACAAGUGUAAGAUGAUGUAACAUCAGAAGAUUGUUAAAGUAUUGUUACAACGCUUUUAGUGACCUGAGUUUUUUUCUCCUUAUCUCUCUUCUUAUCAUAUUUGUGACAAAUGAAAAGACAUCUAUUCUAAAGACUAAAAUGUUGCUGGGUAAGUCAAGUUGUGCCAAUAAACUAGCAAAGAAAACCUGAAUUUGGUUUGAACAUCACCCAGUUUAGAGCAUUUUACUGGUAAGACUGAUGGUUGUGGUUGGUAAAUCAAAAGUCACUAUGAUUAACUCGCUGAUUUAACUUUGUUUAUGUCACGCAAAGCAUCAUUGUUAAGGUUGACAUUUCCAUUUUAUUUCAACUAUCACAAAAAAUAAACACAUACGGAAGUAGCUGUUCCUUUAAAAAAUCAAAUUUAUAAACAAAUUUUGAUGUUAACGUUGAUGGUGGCAGUGAUGGCGAUAGCUGAUGUAAUGUGAAGGAGGAUGAUGCCGAUCAAUUUUGACAGACUUAAGAGAUCAACUCGAAACACUAGCAAAAAGAUGAUUCAAAGACUAAUAUCAAGCAUGAAAGACACAGAUGCAACGUUAUAAUCCAGUGGCAACAAAACGAUUAAAAGCACAAGUUAAAAAAACAAAGAAAGCGAAAUUACCAAAGGAAAAAGAAAGUUCAAGUUGUACCAUUGGCAGUAAACUUGCAAAACGUUUUGUUUGAUAUGGAUCAUGUUUAACCUGCUCAUAGACAUUUCUCAGUGAGAUAAAGAUGCACAAUCGAUUGAUUUAGAAGGAUUUCAAAGGAAUUAAAAUUGUCCUUAGUUUGUUACCUCAAAGCAACCAGUUUAUCAUAAGGAUUUUCUUGGAUUAUUACCGUUUCUGUUGAACUGUUGAAAUGUGAUCAUUUACUUUCCACUGUUGCUUCAAGUCAACUUUUUCAAUGUUCACCAUUUCAACUUAAAUUACAUCUUUAUUUUUCAACUUUUUUUUGCUCAUGCAAUAGUUUUCUUCCUCUAUUUUACUUAUUCUUUCUCGUCAGCUCUUGGUAUUUUCUGCCACUUUAGUUGGACUCUCUAUGAAUCUAAAUCAUUUUAUUCUUUUUAUGUCUUUUUUUAGCGUUAAAAGCCAAAUUUUGGGUCACGGUUUGAAGCUAGCUUGGAUCCAACAAAUGAUAUUUGAAAAGCAUUUCUGGAAACCAAAAAAGUUUACCAAUGUUGGCCAAUUUCAACAAAAUUGUUGUUUUUUUCAUUGGACAUAAAGGAAAGAUGCAAUUAUUGGAUGCAAACCGUUGGAUGGUCAAUAGAAAAAGUGAAGCCAAUUGUUUAACUUCAAUUUAAAAUUCAAGCCACUCUUUAUUCACUUUACUAUUUAUCAACUAUUUUUCAUGGAAUUAAGUAGUUACUCAAGGACUUGACCACAGAAGACCGCAAAAAUUUCAACUCUCAAGACUAUUUUCAUCACUCUGCACCCAUCAGCAAUCUAAUUUCAGUUUGAAAUUGGAUUGGUACUAAUUUAUUUUUAAUUGAUAGCAAUUGUGGCUUUCAAUAAGAGUGCUGCCAUUUAGAAUUAUAUCUUGAAAGAAGUCAUAAAACUGUCUAAAGAGCAUACACACUGGAGUUUGAGUUAUUUCAGUCACACCGUUAUAGCCAGAAUAGUAACUUGAAUUAUCGUAAUGAUAGCAUUGAAAUUGUACAACUUUUAAAAUGGUAUUAAAUAAUUUUUACAAUAA